UUGUUUUUUUAAACAACAAAGGUCAAUUUACAGAAGUAGUCAAACAAACCACAGCUGUGCUUCUGAAAUGAGAGCUCUCUGUGGCCUCGGCCCAGGCUUUGCUAUUUGUUCUCUGCUCCCCGGUGCCACCGUGUACCCCCCUUGGCAUUUCUUAAUGACGGGAGCACCCGUGUGCUCUUUGUAAAACAAUUAUAAAAUAUUCAGGGCAGGAGCAAAACUCCUCAUCAGCCAAGGCUCCGGCAGACUGCAUAGGUGUCAAAUGGUAAAUCGUCAGGCGUUUGGUUUUAAUUGCAGAGUUAUUUAUACCCUGGAACUUGUUAUUAACAUAGGACAAAACAGAACCUACUGUUACCCCUAAUUAAAGGGGCUAUUAUGGGACUGCAAGAGCACGGAUGGCCCCAGCCAGACCACCCCUCAUUUGGCAGCGGUGACUGGUGCAGGGAGGGACGGGAGCCAGCGGCCCCAUCUCGAGGUAAAACAGCCAACAGCUCCAAAGGGGUCGGUCCCAGCACAUGAACAUGGGGCUGCUCUCACCCCAGCCCUGCACCCCUCUUCCUCCAGCCCCUGCGACCUGGCACAAAGCAGGGGUGCUUCUGGAGGAGGUGUCGCAGGGGCACGAUCCCGCCUUUCUUUCCCCAUCAGCAACUCCUCUCUGGCAAAGGGGCACAUGGAUAGGGCACAUCCUGGAUUUGGCCGGGAGUUGCAUAAGCAUCCUUGUUAAAAUUCAGGAUUAACAGGUUAUAUUUUCAUUCGUGAGAUCCUUAUCGGCACGGAGAGAGGUUUCCGAUUUCACCAGCACUAAUCAGGACGCCACAAUGGAUUUCCGGUCCCAGCGACGAGGCUCAGGAGCCUUUGUAGGCUGUGGAGCCGGUUUUAAUUCAAAUCUAGCUGGCAGAGCUAUUGUAGGCUGCAUGUUGAACAGAUUAAAAAAAAAAAGUCACUUACAUGCUACUGCACCUUAUUUCUAAAUCCAUUUCGUACAGACACAAAUCCCGCUGACCACCGAAGCAUCUGGUAGCUGCUCUCCCUGUUCAGAACGGCGCCCUCCAUCCUGUUCGCGGCUCUGAGUGGCGAUGCCCAUUAGGGUUUUGUGCCAUAAAAGAAACAUGCCAAAACCCUGCACCGUUCCCCACCUCAACUGCUGGUUUAUACCAUUAAGGCUACGCAAACAUAAGCAGCAAAUGUGUCUCGCAUAAAGAGAUCAGCGUGCAACGAGGGGCUGUGCUCCUGACCGGCGCGGGGCUGCGCGCAGCGCAUCGCGCGAGGCCAGCCCAGCAGAGAGGCAGCUGGCCUGCCAGGACAGUCAAGAGCAAAGCUGCCGAUGCCGUAAUUAUAACUGGGAGGCCAAACAGAGUCCUGAGAGGGAGUAUCUUUGUGGACAGAGAGGGGAAAGGCUCAUUGACAACUGGCUUUACCAGAUGAGUAAAUUAGAGCCGGGUUAUAGCCUUCUUGUUCUCUCCCUGCCUCCGCCCCCAAGGACUCUGUGAGUCAGUGGAACUGGAGGAAGAAUAUACACUAAAUUCUACAAGUGCAGGAAUUAAAGAGACAUCUACACAGCUUGCCUCUGGCGCUUGAUACCAGCUGCAAAAUUGGGUUAGCUUGACAUUGCUGCUGGAGGUGACCAGACCCAGAAAGGCUGGCUAAGCAGCAGGCAAGCAAAGCCCCGCUCCGCAGAGCAGUUGAGCUGGAAGCUGACGGGCGUCUCCCUGCCGAGGCACGGGGACGCGUUUUUAAUGUUUUAAAUCUGGGAGUGAAAGCAAUUAAGGAAAAAACUCUGCUUCCUGCACAAACAUGAGCUUCAGACAGUUUGGGAUUAUGAGACAGAUGCAAAUCUGCAAGAACGGUCUGACCACACGCAUGUCUGAGCGCCUGAGACCCUGCAAGCUCCCCGAGGUGCAGGAAAGCCUUGCUGGGGUUUGCCAGCUCAGGCACACUUUGGUGCCGGAUCUUUUACAGGUGAGGACACCACCAAAUCAAACCCGCUGCCAGCCACCGGUCCGGGAGAUGGACGCAAGCGGAUAUCACAGCUCCGAAGAGGAAAUCUCAGAUGUCUCGUAAAUCCUGCUGCCCGGAGCCCUGCAUAGCAGGCGGACUCGCUCAGCGCCUCGCCGGGUUCAUCCGCUCAGCAAACGCGCGAAGAAGCCUGCGAGGUGCCACGGCCCGGGGUGAAUCGCGGCCAGGAUAGCAGCCGGCUGCCCCUCUGAAAGGCCCCAGAAAUUGCGGCCUCAUCCCCCUGACACCUUAAAGGUCAGGACAGCGCAGAAAUUAAACAGCGCUGGGGAGCUGGGAACUCCUCCCAGCUUCGCUGCAUGCGGCCCAAGGUGCGACUUGAAGGCCACAUUUAAUUCACUGCCAGCCUUUGGCUUCUGACUGCCCGGGCAGGGCUGUGGAGAGGUCACUGCCCUGCCUUCACUGAAGCUGUCCCUCUCCCCAGAUUUCUUUCCUUCCCCUCCCCACUGGCUGCCCUAAAACUGAAAUACCCCAGCCACCAGCCACCAGCUGCUGCAGGGGAAGGCGGCGUUCAGAAACACACGUCGGAACUGAGCCAGAAGCAAGCAACACAUGUCUGGGUUAAGCUGCAGAGUCCUUUUUCCUUAAUACUUUCCUUUCUCUCCCCGUUUGCUGUGGGCAUGCAGGGAAGGACAGAAAGGCUGACACAGACGAGCCCAGCAAGCUCUGAUACUUCUCCCAGCUUGGCGAGGUUCCCUCAGGGCUGGAGCUGCGGUUGCUGCAGGGGUCAGAUAGAAGGAGGGAGGACAGGGGAGGGAGAAGGGGAAAAAAUGAACAGCUGCAAACCAAUUACGGCUGACUCUGCCGUCCUGUCCAAUGCAGCCCGUCAAUCUAAUUCAGCCUGGUGCCUCUCUUCCUUCAGCCGUCUGGUGCCUGCCUGGGAUUCAGGAAAGGGGCUGUCUGACUGCCCACUUUGUCUCACAAGCCAAAGGGGCCCUUCCCAGCCACAAUUUCCAAAGGAAAGAGAUCUUGGCUGGCGGUGUCUCUUCUCUUCUGAGAAAACAGGCGCUGAAUGUAGCGGCAGCUUUAUAACCCUCUCCUGCCCUUCCUCAGCAAACAACCGGAGUGGAGUUUGAGCACGAAAAUGACCCUGCCGGCUCCUCCGCUCAGCAGUUGUCUCACAGCACAAUGAAUCAAUUAGCGGCCGAUCAUUAUUGCGGUAACUCUAUCUUGCACGAGCAAGAUUUUAUACACAGAUAGAAUAGGAUGUUUUCUGCUCGUUUCCUUCCUGUCAUUCCAAUCACGAACUACUGUUAAAAAUACAUCACAUUUAAAGCCUGGGAUAUUUGCAAGCAUGUGCUCCAGCUGCCCAGAUGGACGCCUGGGCAGGGCUCUCUGCACGGCAAAGCUAAAGGAAGAUUUACUUACAUUUCAGGACCAUCACACAGGCUAUGGUGAUGUUAUCAGCAUUUCUCUGUUCUUGCUGACCUUAAGUACUCUUAAACCAUUAAAUGCAUAAUAUUUUCUGAUAAUAGAAUGCCAUUCACAUUUCAGUGACAAUAACUCACUUUAAUGAGAUAAGAACCUACACAUCAAAUGAGUCCAUCUCUGUUUGAGAAAUAUUAGCCCACUUUUGGGAACCGCGGGAUCGCAGCGAGCGACCUCAGGAGUCCACCAGCGUGUUCCUGGAGAAGCCGUAACUCCCACCUACAUCCAGAGGAAUUUGAGAUGCGUACGGAUUGCACAAGCAGAUGUUAAUCUGCGGAGAACAACACGGGUAUGGGCAGUCUGCAUUUUUGCUUUAAGCAAACAAGAACCAACAAGACUAUUAAUGACAGCAAACAGCACAGGUUUCUAGCUGCACGUAGAAAUAGGCUUUAAAAACAACUGUAUUCCUUAAGUGAGUCAUUGCAUCGUAAAGAGAACUUUUACAAGAAACUUCUCGUUGUUUACAAAAUUCCCCCCUACAUAUUUUUUAAUUCAUUCCUUCCCACUCACACCACACGUACUAACCCGGGAAAGAGAGCCGUACGAGACAGAAACCUGACGCUUCCAUCAAAAAAAACCACACAAUCAUCGAUAUUUACUCCGGGCACCUUCACUUAACAGGCUCUCCGCUUUUUCUGCAGUCAAACAGCAACCGAAAUCUGAGCAGAGACUUUCUUAUCGAGCUACCAGGAGGUCGCCCAGCCUUCCCCUGGCGCGGGGAGCCGCGGCUCGGCUCGGUGGAUGCUGGAAGAUGCCCUCGUGCUGCCGCUCUGCCCGCAGCGCUCCCCCGGUGCGGCGCUCAGCGCAGCGCUCUCGCCCAGCCAAGGACGAAAAAAUACAGCAGGAAUAGCUUAAUUCCAGCUCUAAAUGAGCUCAGCGGGGAAUCUAAACAGUCAAGUCAAUUGCCAGAAUCUGCACUUUUCAACCUCGUUCUGCUCCUUUGAUCAGCCUGAAUUUGGAGCUGCAGCGAUUAAUGGACUAAUAGAGGAAGUCACAGGAUGCCUCUCGGGAGGAGAGGGAAAGAGAAAAAAGUAGCUCAUCCCUGCUCUGCAUCUCCUGUGCAAGCACCACGCUUCCGCACAGAAAACUGAAGUACCACUGCAGAAAGUGAGCCGAAAGGAAGGAGAAGAAGGGGGCUGUCUGAAAUAAAUGAUAAUAAUAAAACCCAUAAUUCAUUAAUUGCUUAAACACGCCCUUUGAAGCAAGGGUAAAAGAAAACAGACUAUCCAAAUACAAGUGUCUUGUAAACUGCACUUCAAUCCAGUAGAGUAACAGUUUAUACUUAAUAAUGCCAGAGAGCCCAGGAAAUAUUAAACACAUUCAUUAGGCAAAGAGAAGCUUCCAAAAGCCCUGAGUCUUUAAGUACUGGGAGAAAUUGAUUUGUUUAUGACAGGGAUGUGUACUACUGUUAUCCCAGGAUAGCAUGUCCUCAUCUUUCUGCAAAGGGAAGAAACACAUUCACACAGCAGCCCGCAAUCACCGAAGAAAAAGAGGGGAAAAAGGUCUUUGGUGAGAUUUUUUUUCCCCUUGCUUGCUUUUGUUACGCUGUGCCUGACAGAAGGGGGCACUUGUCCUCCUGCAAGGGGCAAGUUGUGCUUCUGCUCCUUGUGACUUAAAAAGCAAAGCCCAGAGAACUGCAAGCAAUCAGUGGACUGAUUAAAAUAUGAACUUCUUCAAAGUUUGGGACAUUUACAAAAUGCUGGUACGAGCCCCAGAAAAACCAACAGCACAGAAAGCCAAAAAUCAUUCAAACAUAGAUGUGAACUAAG